UACGAAGGGGGCUAGCGUUGCUCGGAAUCACUGGGCGUAAAGCGCACGUAGGCGGAUUGUUAAGUCAGGGGUGAAAUCCUGGAGCUCAACUCCAGAACUGCCUUUGAUACUGGCGAUCUCGAGUCCGGGAGAGGUGAGUGGAACUGCGAGUGUAGAGGUGAAAUUCGUAGAUAUUCGCAAGAACACCAGUGGCGAAGGCGGCUCACUGGCCCGGUACUGACACUGAGGUGCGAAAGCGUGGGGAGCAAACGGG
rnacentral:rRNA from 1 species